rnacentral:tRNA from 1 species
UAAAGUUUAGUUUAUAAAAAACAAAUGUUUUGAAAACAUUAAUAGGAAUGUAAUAUCCAACUUUUA